AGUGAACGCUGGCGGUAGGCCUAACACAUGCAAGUCGAACGGCAGCACAGUAAGAGCUUGCUCUUACGGGUGGCGAGUGGCGGACGGGUGAGGAAUACAUCGGAAUCUACUUUUUCGUGGGGGUUAACGUAGGGAAACUUACGCUAAUACCGCAUACGACCUACGGGUGAAAGCAGUGGAUCUUCGGACCUUGCGCGAUUGAAUGAGCCGAUGUCGGAUUAGCUAGUUGGCGGGUGAAAGGCCCACCAAGGCGACGAUCCGUAGCUGGUCUGAGAGGCUGGUCAGCCACACUGGAACUGAGACACGGUCCAGACUCCUACGGGAGGCAGCAGUGGGGAAUAUUGGACAAUGGGCGCAAGCCUGAUCCAGCCAUACCGCGUGGGUGAAGAAGGCCUUCGGGUUGUAAAGCCCUUUUGUUGGGAAAGAAAAGCAGCAGGUUAAUACCCCGCUGUUCUGACGGUACCCAAAGAAUAAGCACCGGCUAACUUCGUG
rnacentral:rRNA from 1 species